rnacentral:misc_RNA from 1 species
UUUCCGUAGGUGAACCUGCGGAAGGAUCAUUCAUAAUAAAGUGUUUUAUGGCACUUUUUAAAAAUCCAUAUCCACCUUGUGUGCAAUGUUAGUUCUCGUCAAUCUUGGCGAGAUUUUUAUACAUCAACUCAUUCUUUAACUAAUUUGUCUGAAAAAUAUUAUGAAUACUUAAUUCAAAAUACAACUUUCAACAACGGAUCUCUUGGCUCUC